CGUGGCCCAGCUUGGAAUCGUUUUAACUGGAGGGAUUUCAUUUCCUGCUUCCGUUCCUUUUGUGGGUGCGCGCGAGGGAGCAGGAGAGCGGUCAGCGGCCCACGAGGUAAUGAGGAUAGAAUCAGCUGUUAGUAUUUGUCUCUGAUGGUACUGCAAGUUUACUGUGUGGACUCUGCCAUGCUACUCCUCUGUAACCAGCAAGGUGUCACGUGAACUGUUAAAGAAAUAAGCCUAUGAGCAUUGGCCUCGGAGAUUGUGUUGCUCUGUCCAGAAAACCCUAUAUUGUGAGAUGGGCUUUCAAAUGCUGCUUACCUGAAGCCUGCCAGCUCUCACCUGAACUGCUGAGUAGGAAAUACCUUCGUUAUGUGAUUUACUGAGCUUGGAUACAUUCAGAAAUGCCAUUUUCCUGACUUUGUCCUGCUCUUUGAAGCCGGCAAGAGUUGUUUUGAAUUCUCAAGAACAAGGAUUUAAAUCAGCUGUGGUCUUAACUGCACAUUAGACAACAUAUUUAACUUGCAGCUACCAAGAAGUCCUACAGUUUUCACGGCAUGUUGUGAGAGGAAGCCCUGUGAACCCAGGGAAAAGAUGAGGGUGUUCUGUCUUUCUGCAUCAAAGAAUCUGCGAGAGGCAUGUACAUUACAUACAGGCCUUGAUCCGUGCAGAGGCUUAUGCUAAUUCUUAAUUUUAUGCAGUAUUCAGGUCCACAGAUUCUUCUUGCAGAUCCCCUGCAAACUUAAGGAGAAGGAACCAGACCAGUCAGUCAUCAUGGACCUGGAGUUAAACUCUGCACCAGAAGUGCCUAUUUCCUAUUCUCUUCUGCAUCCAGAUCCACAGAUCCCGCAGUGUGAUUUUCACAGGAUGCAGCACAAUCAGGAAAAGUGACUUACUCUAAACACUCAAAUAUUUACAAUUUUUUAAAUUUAAAAACAUAUAUAUUUACUAAGACCUUACCCAUGUAGCGCCUUCCAGCUAAAUGUGGUUUAGACUGAAGAUUGCUAGUCCAGUUUGUACAUAUCUGUCUAGUUUGCUUCCUUCUAGAUCUCAUCUCCACAGAAAUUCAUUGUGAUGGAAUAUAUCCAUGUUCACAUCUCACACACUAUUGUAAUAAUCUUUGUACAAGGAAUGCCUUAUGAGGUCUCAUUAGAAAACUCGUAAUUUGAUGAUCAGUGAUAUGGUAAAAUGUGUAUAGCAGCUUUAUGUGUUAAGUUAUAAAUUUCCUCUGUAUGAUGUUAAAAAUACAUGUGCAGACUCACAUAUCACCAAACAGGUCAAAUAGACCAGUUCUGAACAAAGUGUAUGCUUGUCUUAAUUGGCAUUAACACAGUAAACAGAGUCAUCAACCAAUAAAAGGGGAAAGAAGAAAACAAAGAGCUCACACAGGUGAAAAAGCCCAGCAGGGAACAUCCUUCCUCCAGUAGACUACCUGUCUCCUGGUUCUCAGCUGGAAAUGCUUUUCAAAGAGAGACUAAAACACUAUAAAAAGGCAAGGCAAACACCCCAAGACACCUCUCUCUCUUCACCUUAGAAGGCAAUGGCA